AAAUGAAUAGACGGGGGCCCGCACAAGCGGUGGAGCAUGUGGCUUAAUUCGAGGCAACGCGAAGAACCUUACCUGGGCUUGAAAUAUAUAUGACCGUCUAUGAAAGUAGAUUUCCCUUCGGGGCGUAUAUACAGGUGCUGCAUGGCUGUCGUCAGCUCGUGCCGUGAGGUGUUCGGUUAAGUCCGGCAACGAGCGCAACCCGUAUCAUUAGUUGCCAGCAAGUAAAGUUGGGGACUCUAAUGAGACUGCCCGUGUUAAGCGGGAGGAAGGCGCGGAUGACGUCAAGUCAGUAUGGCCCUUACGCCCAGGGCUGCACACGUGCUACAAUGGGGGGUACAAUGAGACGCGAAAUCGCGAGGUGGAGCAAAUCUACAAAACCUCUCUUAGUUCGGAUUGCAGUCUGCAACUCGACUGCAUGAAGUUGGAAUCGCUAGUAAAGGCGUAUCAGCUACGACGCCUUGAAUACGUUCCCGGGCCUUGUACACACCGCCCGU
rnacentral:rRNA from 1 species